CUCCCUUCAGGGACAUCUGGUAAAUUGAAGCGGUGCAGAAAAGAUUAACAUGACAUGUGCACGGAUGACAUGCAAAAAUCGAGAAACGGUCAAAUUCUUU